UACUUGGAUUCCAGACUAUGUGAGAAUAGAGGACACAAUAAAAGAGGAACAAUUUUGCUUAUGAAUAACACAAACUCUAAGUAAUAAAAGACCGUGACAGACACAGACUAACUUUGGGGUUAAAAGCACAGAUUCGGGAACAAGACUGUGGAGGUUCAAAACCUGGUUUCACCUGUUGGAUUUUGGGAUGGUGUGCUGGAGAGUGACCGAGCAGGUAACUCUGCUGAGAUCCGAAUGAGAAGAAUGAGCCAGCCAUGAAGCAGGCCAGGAGAAAGGGCAUCUCAGGCCCCGGGCACAGCUACUACAACAGCUCUAAGUGGGAGUCAGCUUGGAACGGCCACGGAACAGAGAGGAGGACCAAACAUGAGAAAACUACCAAAAAUAUCGCCAGAUGUGGACAGUGCUCUGGACGUCCCAAAUCACUCCCAGCGGAGAACCACUGAAUCGGAGAUGAGCAAGAUGUGAACAGACACUUCAACGAGAAGAUACGGAUUGAAAAUAAGUGCUCGUGUGAAGACGUUCAAUAGGACUGGCUGUGAGGGAAAUGCAGAAUAAAGCUCCGAUAAAAUAUUACUACAUACCUAUUGGAACGGCUGAAAUAAAAAAUAGUGGUAACACCAACUACUUGUGAGAAAGUGGAGCGGUUGGAACUCUCAUUCAUUGCUGGCGGGAACGUCAAUGGUACGAACUCUGCAAUACAGUUUAGCAGUUUCUUGCAAAGUUAAACAAACACUCACCACGUGACCCAGCAAUUCCACCCCUGCAUGAUUAUCCUGGAGAAAUAUAAACGUGUGUUCACACAAAAACUUGUACAGGAGAUUCAUGACGUCUUUAUUUGUAACAGCCGAAACCCGGAAAACCCAGAUGCCCUGCAGCAGGUGAAUGGUCAGACACUGCUGUGGCCCGUCCACACCACGGAACACCACUCAGCAAGAAAAAGGAAGAUGCUGCCGAUACCCUCAGCACCCUGCCUCCACCUCAAGGGCGUGAUGCCGCGUGAAAAGGGCCGGUCUCACAGGGCUGCACACUGCCUGGUUCCAUUUAUAUGACCUUCUCUGUGGGACAAUGGUAGUGAUGGAGGCUAGAUGGGGGGUGCCAGGAGUUACGGUUGGGGGGUGACUAUUAAGGGAUAGCACAGGGAUGGUCUUUGUGGGGUGGGACAGGUCUGCAUGCUGACUUGUGAGAUUAUUCAAAUCUGCUCGUGUG
rnacentral:lncRNA from 1 species